GACGAACGCUGGCGGCGUGCCUAAUACAUGCAAGUAGAACGCUGAAGAGAGGAGCUUGCUCUUCUUGGAUGAGUUGCGAACGGGUGAGUAACGCGUAGGUAACCUGCCUGGUAGCGGGGGAUAACUAUUGGAAACGAUAGCUAAUACCGCAUAAAAUUGAUUAUUGCAUGAUAAUUAAUUGAAAGAUGCAAUUGCAUCACUACCAGAUGGACCUGCGUUGUAUUAGCUAGUUGGUGAGGUAACGGCUCACCAAGGCGACGAUACAUAGCCGACCUGAGAGGGUGAUCGGCCACACUGGGACUGAGACACGGCCCAGACUCCUACGGGAGGCAGCAGUAGGGAAUCUUCGGCAAUGGGGGGAACCCUGACCGAGCAACGCCGCGUGAGUGAAGAAGGUUUUCGGAUCGUAAAGCUCUGUUGUAAGAGAAGAACGGGUGUGAGAGUGGAAAGUUCACACUGUGACGGUAUCUUACCAGAAAGGGACGGCUAACUACGUGCCAGCAGCCGCGGUAAUACGUAGGUCCCGAGCGUUGUCCGGAUUUAUUGGGCGUAAAGCGAGCGCAGGCGGUUAGAUAAGUCUGAAGUUAAAGGCUGUGGCUUAACCAUAGUAUGCUUUGGAAACUGUUUAACUUGAGUGCAGAAGGGGAGAGUGGAAUUCCAUGUGUAGCGGUGAAAUGCGUAGAUAUAUGGAGGAACACCGGUGGCGAAAGCGGCUCUCUGGUCUGUAACUGACGCUGAGGCUCGAAAGCGUGGGGAGCAAGCAGGAUUAGAUACCCUGGUAGUCCACGCCGUAAACGAUGAGUGCUAGGUGUUAGGCCCUUUCCGGGGCUUAGUGUCGCAGCUAACGCAUUAAGCACUCCGCCUGGGGAGUACGACCGCAAGGUUGAAACUCAAAGGAAUUGACGGGGGCCCGCACAAGCGGUGGAGCAUGUGGUUUAAUUCGAAGCAACGCGAAGAACCUUACCAGGUCUUGACAUCCCUCUGACCGCUCUAGAGAUAGAGUUUUCCUUCGGGACAGAGGUGACAGGUGGUGCAUGGUUGUCGUCAGCUCGUGUCGUGAGAUGUUGGGUUAAGUCCCGCAACGAGCGCAACCCCUAUUGUUAGUUGCCAUCAUUGAGUUGGGCACUCUAGCGAGACUGCCGGUAAUAAACCGGAGGAAGGUGGGGAUGACGUCAAAUCAUCAUGCCCCUUAUGACCUGGGCUACACACGUGCUACAAUGGCUGGUACAACGAGUCGCAAGCCGGUGACGGCAAGCUAAUCUCUGAAAGCCAGUCUCAGUUCGGAUUGUAGGCUGCAACUCGCCUACAUGAAGUCGGAAUCGCUAGUAAUCGCGGAUCAGCACGCCGCGGUGAAUACGUUCCCGGGCCU
rnacentral:rRNA from 1 species